UACAUGGGGUGCAAACGUUGCUCGGAAUCAUUGGGCGUAAAGCGCACGUAGGCGGUUCGUUAUGUCGGAUGUGAAAGCCCUCGGCUUAACCGGGGAAGUGCAUCCGAAACUGGCGAGCUUGAGUACUAAAAGAGGGGUCGCGGAAUUCCCGGUGUAGAGGUGAAAUUCGUAGAUAUCGGGAGGAACACCAGCGGCGAAGGCGGCGACCUGGGUAGAUACUGACGCUGAGGUGCGAAAGCGUGGGGAGCAAACAGG
rnacentral:rRNA from 1 species